rnacentral:rRNA from 1 species
GACGAACGCUGGCGGCGUGCUUAACACAUGCAAGUCGAACGGUGACGGAGAGCUUGCUCUCCUGAUCAGUGGCGAACGGGUGAGUAACACGUGGGCAAUCUGCCCCUGACUUCGGGAUAACGCUUCGAAAGAGGUGCUAAUACCGGAUACGAACUCGGCAGGCAUCUGCUGAGUUGGAAAGUUUUUCGGUCAGGGAUGAGCCCGCGGCCUAUUAGCUUGUUGGUGAGGUAACGGCUCACCAAGGCGACGACGGGUAGCCGGCCUGAGAGGGCGACCGGCCACACUGGGACUGAGACACGGCCCAGACUCCUACGGGAGGCAGCAGUGGGGAAUAUUGCGCAAUGGGCGAAAGCCUGACGCAGCAACGCCGCGUGAGGGAUGACGGCCUUCGGGUUGUAAACCUCUUUCAGCAGGGAAGAAGCGAAAGUGACGGUACCUGCAGAAGAAGCACCGGCUAACUACGUGCCAGCAGCCGCCGUAA